rnacentral:rRNA from 1 species
CCUCGGAUCAGGAAGGGAUACCCGCUGAACUUAAGCAUAUCAAUAAGCGGAGGAAAAGAAACCAACAGGGAUUGCCUUAGUAACGGCGAGUGAAGCGGCAAUAGCUCAAAUUAGAAAGCUGGCCCCUUCGGGGUCCGCGUUGUAAUUUGUAGAGGAUGAUUCGGCGAGGGCUCCCGUCUAAGUCCCUUGGAACAGGGCGUCAUAGAGGGUGAGAAUCCCGUAUGUGAUGGGCUGCCUUAGCCAUGUGAAUCUCCUUCGACGAGUCGAGUUGUUUGGGAAUGCAGCUCUAAAUGGGAGGUAAAUUUCUUCUAAAGCUAAAUACCGGCCAGAGACCGAUAGCGCACAAGUAGAGUGAUCGAAAGAUGAAAAGCACUUUGGAAAGAGAGUUAAAAAGUACGUGAAAUUGUUGAAAGGGAAGCGCUUGCAGCCAGACUUGUCCGCAGUUGCUCAGCCCGUCUCCUGACGUGGAAGGACAAGUCGUAACAAGGCAGGCCAGCAUCAGAACCGGUGCGGUCUGGAUAAAAGACUUUCUCGAGCUAACGUGUCGAACGUUGAGCGCUCACGCUCAUCGGCUGUGUGAAUGAGGUAUAACCCCCGGAUCUAGCAACGGCGAGACAACCCUGGGACUGGAGGAUCUCCCCUUCCGGCUAAGAA